rnacentral:lncRNA from 1 species
GUGUUCCAUGUGACUUGCUUCUUUCUGGUGCUGUUUGAUUCUGACAAUGUAUCGAUAUUCGGUGGAAGAGCACAUGUUUCUUGUGAACAGUAUUGGAUAAGUAGUUCCUGUAAGACAUAUCAGCAAUUAUUUUUAGAACAUUUUGGUGGUCAACAUAGACCAUCUAAACAUUCAAGGCUUGGUGAUGAAGCUGAAGACAAAAGGAACAUUGUUAGAUCUGCACAGCAGGGGCCGUCUGCAGUUAUUGGAAGAAAGUGUGGGUGAGGUGAAGACACGAUUGUUGGUAUUGCUCACAAAGUCUCUUUGCCAUUUAUUGCAGGAAUAUGGAUUAUCAUGUAGCACAUGUCACAGAGCUGCUAAGAAAGCAUGCCUGUAUCCCUACAAGUUUACAGUUGUUCAUGAACUGAUACAGACUGACCAUGAUAAACUCUAACAUAUUGCCAUUGCUCUAAAUCUUUC